CACCUCUCAGUAUUUGCUGGUUUUGGAAUUGUUCUCACCUGAUUUGGAGAUCAUUAGAUCUUGAGGGGCUUUGUUGCUGGUUUGGAGGUGUUUCCAGCAGUGUUGCUUGUGAUCCGAGACCCUCUUGCUGCCAGGAUUUUCACUAAAGAGCCAUCGUCUUCGGCUGCUGCUAUUGCUGAUCUGGAUC